UUAUGGCCAUAUCACACUGAAACACCAGUUCCUGUAAAGUCACCAAAGUUAAGCAACAUCGAGCCAGGUCAGUACCUAGAUGGGUGACCGUUUGGGAAUACCAGGUGCUGUAAG